UGGCAUAUGCACAGCUUUAUCUGCCUGGCAGGUUGGAGGUAGUCCUGAGCCCUGCUUCUGCAUCAUAUGGCUUCCCCUUUCCUUGACCUGGGCUCUAGAACAAGGGAGCCAGGCCAAAGGAUUCCUUUCCAGUCCUCUUUGGCCAGUAACAAAGUAUUUUCACCUGGAUACCAGAAGGUACAAUUCAUGAGAGCUGUUUGUGUUGUUCACCACUGAAUCCUCAAGAGUGCCUAGCAUGUAGUAGGUUGUGAAGAGGUAACUCCUCAGCAGACCAUCCCCCGACACAAUUUCCAUAGACCCCUGUGUCUCUCUCCACUCUAACUCCUUCCUGCUCUGUGCUCGUCGAUGCCUACCACUACACAGCAACAGUGACUACAGCCACCACCUCCCUGCUGUAGUCACCAAGCCUAACUGAUGCCAACUCUUCAACUGAUACAGAUUAUAUCUGAGCAACAAGGGAUCCUGUAUGGAGUGGAAAGAGAACUAGAGAGUCUGGCUGAAGAUUCUCCAGAGGAAAUAAAGAUCUGAAAUCAAUUCCCAUAUUGAAAAACACAGCUGCUAUAUCAGAUAAUGAUGGGAUCCAGGGCCAAACUGGCGAAUCACUGAAG